rnacentral:rRNA from 1 species
UACGUAGGUGACAAGCGUUGUCCGGAUUUACUGGGCGUAAAGAGCGCGCAGGCGGUCGUUCAAGUCGAGUGUGAAAGCCCCCGGCUCAACUGGGGAGGGUCAUUCGAUACUGAUCGACUCGAAGGCAGGAGAGGGAAGUGGAAUUCCCGGUGUAGUGGUGAAAUGCGUAGAUAUCGGGAGGAACACCAGUGGCGAAGGCGACUUCCUGGCCUGUUCUUGACGCUGAGGCGCGAAAGCCGGGGGAGCAAACAGG